UCCACCUUUUAAGAAAUUAACGCAUCUUUAUUCCAAACAAAGAUUAAGAUCCUCCGAAACAAAUAGUAAAAUGAAUCCUCAGAUAAUAUGAUAUUUGCGACCUGGUAAAAAAACUAAAAACUAGGAAUUGAAGAUGCCCUCCAAAAUUACACAAGCCCAGUAGGCCCACCAGUAAGCAUUAGCCUACAUGGCAAUUGCGAAGGGCGCCCCACCACUACCCCUAACUAGCCUUGCCGCAGCAAAACUCUGCCACAGAGCCACUGCUAGGCCACCACGACCAAGCCGAUUCCCACCCCAACCGCCAACAUCGUCAAUGAAAACCAUCAACAGAUCGAGCCAAAUCACCAUCCUUCACCAUCAACAGAUCGCUGCCCUCAUCUCUAAGGAGAACAGAUCCCAACCAGACGCAGUCACCGCCUCCAGAUGAAGGCUGAAAGCUAGCAUUACGUUCAAAACCACUGGCAGUCACCACAAUCACCUUCGAACCAAAAGACCAUCUAGGGUAGAGGUCAGCUUGAGACAUAUCACCUCCGCCAUCGAAGACCACACUACCAUCAUUGGAACUCCUCCAGGCAUCACCACCUCCAAUAGCAACAAUCUGGCCACCGCGCCAGUCGCUAUCACCACCAUCGAUCGACGAAUCAAGAGCAAAUCCAUCAUCACUAUCAGUAGGACCACCAAACCAGAUCUAAUCAAUCAAGAUUCUAGACCCAAUCCCACCAAAAUCAGCACAAUUGCCUCCUCUACAUGAAGAUAGAGGCAGACGAAGAGGUUUGUCGCUGCCGCCAUGUGAAUAGAGAAGCAAGUGAGAAGUUUUGUCACCGCCGCUCACCGAAGAGAAGAAAGUCUCGAGAGAGUAUGGCUCUGACUCUAGGGUACGG
rnacentral:lncRNA from 1 species